rnacentral:rRNA from 1 species
CCUACGGGAGGCAGCAGUGGGGGAUAUUGCACAAUGGAGGCAACUCUGAUGCAGCGACGCCGCGUGAGGGAAGACGGUCUUCGGAUUGUAAACCUCUGUUUUUGGGGAAGAAAAUGACGGUACCCAAAGAGUAAGCUCUGUCUAACUACGUGCCAGCAGCCGCGGUAAUACGUAGGGAGCGAGCGUUGUCCGGAUUUACUGGGUGUAAAGGGAGCGUAGGUGGGCGGGAAAGUUGAAUGUUAAAUGUACCGGCUUAACUGGAAGCUGCGUUGGAAACUUCUUGUCUUGAGUGUAGUAGAGGCAGGCGGAAUUCCUGGUGUAGCGGUGAAAUGCGUAGAUAUUAGGAGGAACACCGGUGGCGAAGGCGGCCUGCUGGGCUUUAACUGACGCUGAGGCUCGAAAGCGUGGGGAGCAAACAGGAUUAGAUACCCGAGUAGUC